UACGAAGGGUGCAAGCGUUACUCGGAAUUACUGGGCGUAAAGCGUGCGUAGGUGGUUUGUUAAGUCUGUUGUGAAAGCCCAGGGCUCAACCUUGGAAUUGCCUUUGAUACUGGCUAUCGUUGAGUUCGGGAGAGGUGAGUGGAAUGCCGGAGUGUAGAGGUGAAAUUCGUAGAUAUUCGGCGGAACACCAGUGGCGAAGGCGACUCACUGGCCCGAAUACUGACGCUGAGGCGCGAAAGCGUGGGGAGCAAACAGG
rnacentral:rRNA from 1 species